CAGUCGCCACGGGAAUACGUAGGGUGCGAGCGUUAAUCGGAAUUACUGGGCGUAAAGCGUGCGCAGGCGGUUUUGUAAGACAGGCGUGAAAUCCCCGGGCUCAACCUGGGAAUGGCGCUUGUGACUGCAAAGCUAGAGUGCGGCAGAGGGGGAUGGAAUUCCGCGUGUAGCAGUGAAAUGCGUUGAGAUCGGAAAGAACACCAACGGCGAAAGCACUCUGCUGGGCCGACACUGACACUGAGAGACGAAAGCUAGGGGAGCAAAUGGGAUUAGAUACCCCUGUAGUCCCUGUCUCUUAUAC
rnacentral:rRNA from 1 species